UAGAAUUCCACGUGUAGCGGUGAAAUGCGUAGAGAUGUGGAGGAAUACCGGUGGCGAAGGCGGCCUUCUGGACAGAUACUGACGCUGAGAUGCGAAAGCGUGGGGAGCAAACAGGAUUAGAUACCCUGGUAGUCCACGCUGUAAACGAUGUCGAUUUGGAGUUUGUUGCCUAGAGUGAUGGGCUCCGAAGCUAACGCGAUAAAUCGACCGCCUGGGGAGUACGGCCGCAAGGUUAAAACUCAAAUGAAUUGACGGGGGCCCGCCAAGCGGUGGAGCAUGUGGUUUAAUUCGAUGCAACGCGAAGAACCUUACCUGGUCUUGACAUCCACAGAAUCUUGCAGAGAUGCGAGGGUGCCUUCGGGAACUGUGAGACAGGUGCUGCAUGGCUGUCGUCAGCUCGUGUUGUGAAAUGUUGGGUUAAGUCCCGCAACGAGCGCAACCCUUAUCCUUUGUUGCCAUUGAUUCGGCCGGGAACUCAAAGGAGACUGCCGUUGAUAAAGCGGAGGAAGGUGGGGACGACGUCAAGUCAUCAUGGCCCUUACGACCAGGGCUACACACGUGCUACAAUGGCGUAUACAAAGGGAGGCGACCUCGCGAGAGCAAGCGGACCUCAUAAAGUACGUCUAAGUCCGGAUUGGAGUCUGCAACUCGACUCCAUGAAGUCGGAAUCGCUAGUAAUCGUGAAUCAGAAUGU
rnacentral:rRNA from 1 species